rnacentral:rRNA from 1 species
GGACCCGCACAAGCGGUGGAUCAUGUGGCUUAAUAUGACGCUACGCGUAGAACCUUACCGAGGCUUGACAUCCCUGGAACCCCUGAGAGAUCAGGGGGUGCCGCAAGGAAUCAGGUGACAGGUGCUGCAUGGCCGUCGUCAGCUCGUGUCGUGAGAUGUUGGGUUAAGUCCCGCAACGAGCGCAACCCUCAUCGUAUGUUGUAUUUUUCAUGCGAGACUGCCCGGGCCAACCGGGAGGAAGGUGGGGAUGAAGUCAGGUCGGCAUGGCCCUUACGCCUCGGGCCGCACACGUGAUACAAUGGCCGGUACAACGCGCCGCCAAGUCGCAAGACGGAGCUAAUCGCAUCAAAACCGGUCCCAGUUCGGAUUGGAGGCUGCAACUCGCCUCCAUGAAGUCGGAAUCGCUAGUAAACGUGGGUCAGCACACUACGUUGAAUACGUUCCCGGGUCUU